UGAAACAGUGGCCUGACACGGCCACCCGUGUCAGACAUGCGAUUUUUUUUGAAAUUUUUUUGAAAAUUUAAAUUUUCGUGGGGCCCACCCACUUAAACCACUCUUAAUCACAUUUUUUCCCUUAUCCCUCAUCAUUAUCAGAUUUUUUUCAUCACUCUCUCUCAUACAUUUUCAUCUUCUUCUCCCACUCUCUCUCAAACUCCAUUAAAA
rnacentral:lncRNA from 1 species